UAUUUUUCUUAGUAGAUAGUAGUUGUACCUUCACACCUCCCACACGUUUCAGCACCGUUUGAAAUGCUGAUCUUUUACUGAACAUCUUUUAUGCGUGCCCAUGCGGUAGGGGAGAAAAGCCAAGGGAAUCUUGGAUAUUUUUAUUAGUGGAAUCUGAUGUUAUAUUCAUUGGAUGGAAUAAAGCUACAUCUUCACAUAUAAUUGUUCUGCUGUAGUCGUUUUCUCCUAUUCCUGACAUCGAUGGUUGCUUAGGAGUUCAAAUAUCCAAACGCAAGUUGCCAACGCUAACCUACCACUGAUGACCCCAUAACUGCAGGGUGCAGGCCAUAGAGAAGAACAAGUGAAAGGAACUCUAUUGCUGAUAUCAGCCUGUAGAAAUUGUUUUCAGGCUGUUUUGUCAUCGUCUGCUGAAUGGAAUAUAUCAGGUCAGGUUGAUAGUUGAUUGAUCUCUAAAGUCAGCUGAACCUUAGCCGUCGGCGUGGGGUUAACCGGUGAAGCGCAAAGAAUAACGUCAGUGGCCUCUUCUCCGCUGAAACCUUAAUAUAAAAGGACAGCAUGUUACCGGCUUGCUACUAGCAGUGCUAGGGAGGGACACAUCAGAAAUCAGAAUUGUUUCCAAGUACUGACCGGUUGGAAAGCUAGGUCCUGCUUCUACCUGUUCUGUGUUUUUGAACUGCCUCUUUUAUGGGAUCUCAUCAGCUGCAAGCACUGGACUGGCAAUAAUUCAUUCUUCAUUAUGCCUGAUCUGUCGAUUGUCACUGAAGUGUGACCACUUUGCACCCAACGGCUUUGAUAGCGGUGGAAGCACGGUGCGGUCAGGCAGGCAAAACGUGAAAGGCAGCCUUGCGUGCAUGUCACGGUGUCCGGAGCCAUUUCUGGUCAUUUCUGGUGCACCGUCCAUUAUAUUCGUACAGGGAUGGUACCAUAGGCACGCAGGUUAGCGUCUGCUUUUUUUUUCUUCCUAUUAUUUUGAGGGAUUCACAGAGCUGGAAGCUUCUCUUCCUGUACGAAAAGCUUUUUGGAAACAAAGUUUAACUGAUCUUUUGCUUCUUCAUUA